ACCCUCUCCUCUUUCCACCGGGUUCCCGAAACGCUCAGGAGUGCCCUCGUGUUCUGUGUCAGUGGGGUUGUAAAGAGAAAGGCAAGUCGGCUAGGAACAGCCAGACGGCGCCCUGAGACCCCGCGCGUGGCCACCGAACUGGUGUUAGCGGCGAGCUGGAACGGAACAAACUACUUGUCCCAUCAUGCCUGGAGGCAGCUCUGUCCUUUGCAUCCUAGGAGUUGUAGUUCUUCUGCCGCUCGCACUCAACGGCAGCUUGAGUGUGUGGACUCUGUUACCCAGAAGGCCUUGCACAGCGCCCGAAGCUAGAAUUCCUUGGGUAGUCGAGUUUGCAAUUAGCGGAACUCGUUCGAGUGGCCCUGAAGGCUCAUCGAGGCUGCACGCGGCUAGUUGCUAAGCAAAAGAAUCUUUGGUCAACUGCCACCUGAGUCAAAGCAACAGGAACUUUGCAUCAUGCCUCAUAUUGAUAAUGAUGUGAAACUUGACUUCAAGGAUGUCCUGUUGAGGCCCAAACGCAGCACUCUUAAGUCUCGAAGUGAGGUAGAGCUCACAAGAUCAUUUUCGUUCCGGAACUCAAAGCAGAUGUACAGUGGCAUCCCUGUCAUUGCUGCCAAUAUGGAUACCGUGGGCACUUUUGAAAUGGCUAGGGUUCUCUGUAAGGUGAGAUUAACCUUAUGCCCCCUACCAGAUCUUCUCCCAGCUAGCGGCUACAGAGGAAUUGCAUCUGUAUUCCCAGUCUCUGGCAAUUAACAGAAUGUUGUGUUUACUAUUUUUUUUUCCAUUACUAAGAACCAUUUGAUCAGUUCAAAGAUCUGUCUGAACUAGUGAGAUUCAAAUUUAGAUCUGUUUCAUCUUUUUUAUUAUAAUCUCCCAUAAAUUAUAUACUUUACCAAAUUCUUCCAGUGCCCACCCAGGUCAACCCAAGCACAUGCAUUUCUUCAGUCAGUCAUUGUUUGAACAUUAAGCAGUCACUGUUUAGUCCAGAAAUUAAAUACUGUUUUGAGUAUUUAAAAAUUUUCAACCUGGGAUAUUACAGAAAAAAGGAGUUUAUUAGUUUUCUUGUAUGCCUACUAUUAUUUUAAUUUUUCACUUCUUUAAGGUUCUUUUAGGUUCCUGGGAGUUUCUGAGAUCUAUCCCAAAUGGAAGUUUUGUUCUUAAAUACAGAUUGUUCCCUUUGAAAAUGGAAGACACUGCUCCUGACAGUAAUAUCACUUGCCUCUAUGCAUGUAGUUGAGAAGGUAGAUAGUUGCCUGGGCACUUUUGAGAACAUAAUGUGCUUUGCUGAUUAAUCCUAGUAUCCCUAGUUGGUGGGUUCUGUUUCUGUUUGUGGCUGUUGGCCUUAAAGACCUGGGUUUUUGUUUGUUUGUUUUUCUGUUUUUGUAGAAUGUUUGUUGUGCUUUCUCUGAGAUUGAUAAUUAUGGAGUUUUAUUACUUUAUUCCUGUUACCAUUUACUAAUUCUUCAGGGUUUUGGCUAUUAUCUUGUCUGUCUUCUCUGACAGGUGGAUUUGGGGAAUUGGCAAAUCUGUUAAAAAGGCAUGCUAUAAUUCAUGAACCUUACUGGGAAAUGGAUUUCAAUACUGUGGACAAGUACUACAGAAACCAAAUUUUAGAAAUAUAGCCAAGUCUCAAUAAUGAUUAAAAAAAUAAAUUAGAUACC
rnacentral:lncRNA from 1 species